GAUGAACGCUGGCGGCGUGCCUAACACAUGCAAGUCGAGCGAGAUUUAGUGGAGUGCGGACUUCGGUCCAAGUGAAGCUGAUGGAAGUGGCGGACGGGUGAGUAACGCGUGGGCAACCUGCCCCAUACAAAGGGAUAGCCACUGGAAACGGUGAUUAAUACCUUAUAAGUCGGUAGUGUCGCAUGAAACAGCCGACAAAGAUUUAUCGGUAUGGGAUGGGCCCGCGUUUGAUUAGCUAGUUGGUGAGGUAACGGCGCACCAAGGCGACGAUCAAUAGCCGACCUGAGAGGGUGAUCGGCCACACUGGAACUGAGACACGGUCCAGACUCCUACGGGAGGCAGCAGUGGGGAAUAUUGCACAAUGGGCGCAAGCCUGAUGCAGCAACGCCGCGUGAGUGAUGAAGGCCUUCGGGUCGUAAAACUCUGUCCUAUGGGAAGAAUAAAAUGACGGUACCAUAGGAGGAAGCCCCGGCUAACUACGUGCCAGCCGCCGCCGUAACAC
rnacentral:rRNA from 1 species